rnacentral:lncRNA from 10 species
AUCUUUUAUUCUGUAGCAGUAGUUUCAGGGGGUCUCCCUACAGAAGAUAAUACCUCCUCCCACCCCUCAAACAUCUAGGCAGAACUUGAAAUACAUACUUGGUCAUUUCAGGGAGCAAGUUGCUUUUCCUGGCAAAUCAUAUUCUAUUACACCAUAAAUUCUCAAGGGUCCUAUUUUAGAGCACUGCAAUUUAAAAUGUCUUGCUUUUCAACUGCUCUUAAGAAUCUAAAAUGUGCUUAUUAUUUAAUUAUUGUUACAGAUAUUUAAUUUCUCUUCCUAUACUUCUUGCUAAUUACUUAAUUUCAUGACAAUUGAUUUUUCUCAAGACUAUUUUGCAAAAAUAUUCAUAAGUUUAGCAUUGAUAUUACCCUCAACGCUGAAAAUCUUUCCUUACUCCAAGCACUUAUUUAUUUAGCUUCCCCACAUAGAUGGCAGUGUACUGACCCAGGUUGGCCAGCAAGGGGCAGUAGGUAACAAAGUUACCUACACAAAGUUGUGUUUUUGUGUUUGUUUUUUCAAAUUUAACCAAAGCCAGGUUAAUAUUAGUUAACAUUCAUUGAGCACUUCUGAAAUGCCAGGCACUGGCCUAAAUUCUUAAAUGUAUUAGCUCAUUUAAUCCUGAAAAUAGUCAUAUAUGGAAAGUACUGAUAUUAUUCUCCUUUUACAGUGAGGAAACAGGCAUAGUAGGUCAACUAACUUGCCCCAGGUUGUAGUUAGCAAUGACUGAAGCAGAGAUUCAGCCAUGCAGUCUGACUCUAAGUCACUACUGGGUGCUGCUUCUCAAAUUUCUAACAAUUGUAAAACCUUGGUGCUCUAGAUAUAUCUAGUUAUUAAUAGCCCACUUUCAAGUACAAUCAUUAUCUACAAGAUUAUUAAAUAAUGAUUAUAGCCUUCAAUCACUUGAUAAUAAAGACAAUGAGAUCAGAUUUCUUCUUAAUGUCAUCUUUUAUUUUUAUUUUUUGAAGCAAGGCCUUGCUCUGUCUCCCAGGCUGGAGUGGUGCAAUCAUGGCUCACUGCAGCGUCGACCUUGCAGGCUCAAGUGAUCUUCCCACUUCAGUUUCUUGAAUAGCUGGGACUACAGUUGCAACACAUCUGGCUAAUUUUUGUAUUUUUUGUAGAGAUGGGGUUUUGCCAUAUUGCCCAUGGCUGGUCUUGAUCUCCUGGGCUCAAGCGAUCCCCUCACCUCAGCUUCCCAAAGUGCUGAGACUACAGACUUGAGUCAUUGUGCUGGGCCCUAAAUACCAUCUUUUAAUCCAGUGGUCUUUAAAGUUUUUUGAUUGUGCCAUUAAAAAUUUUUGAACACACACAAUUAUAUGUUAAUAUUAAUAUAUGAUUAUAAUAGUAUAUAAUUAUAUGUAUAUUAAUAUAUAAAAUACAUUCUAUAAUACCCACAAAAUAGAAAUUUUAAAAUAAAAAAGCUAUUUUAUCUGUCAUUAAUUGUGGUAGUUUCAAUCAAUCAUUGGCCAAUCUCAAGGGAAAUACACAUAUAGGUCAAAGUUAAUUAUAAGUUAUAGUAGAUGGAAAUUUUAUUGCUAAUAGCCCUCCUAGGUGGAGAGCUAAAUUCUUAUAUGUAUCAUUUUGGCUGACCUUGUCAGAUGUUACUAGAUCACCAUUAUUUUUACAACACAAUGAAUGUGAUGAGGAGCUUGUACCAGAAGUAUGAGAAAUGUCGGCUCUGUCCCUUUCUUUUUUUCUUUUCUUCUGCUUACAAUUUUGACAAGAGUUCCUGUCCAAUUCUUUGCAGAAAUCUUUUAAAUUAUGUUCCCAUUUUGUGAGAGUUAAUUCUCUAUAAAUCUGUUUAGCUAAGCCCAGAUAAAUGACAGUAAAUACCAAGAUAAGGAAAGCGACUGACUGAGAGCCAGAGCCACCAUCAGCCUCUUCCCCAGGGGAGGCACUCCCAUUCCUCCUCAGGACACCUUUUAUGUGACAGAUGAUGACUGCCUGGCUAACUGAGGGUUCUACUGUUUUAGUAAAGCAAAAUUCUUAUAUUAGUGUAUAUUUACUAAAUAUAGCAAAGUAUAGGAAACAAAAUUCUUUCUAAUAUUUUAGAUUAAAAAUUAAAAUAGAAUUUGUUUUCACAUCUCAGCAGAUCAACUUGCUCAUCCACUUUCAAUAGCAUUGUAAUCAGUUUUAGCAUUUAUCAUUUUCAGAAGAGCAUUUCAAGGAAAGACAUUGGUACAUCAUAGCAAGUCUGAAGAGUUAUAUGGUACAAAGGCUGUGUGUCUGCUGAGGAAGGCCAGCUGUCUGUGCAGGCAAUGCCAUUCAGGGGCAGUAGAACUCUAGUGGUAUAGACAGAGACUGGGUCUCAUGAGUCUGUGUCUUAGCUCUGUGGGCUGAGAAACACAAUCUUGUCAGUACUACCAGAGGGGGCAGAUUCACACUAAGCAGACUCAUAAGAGAUGGAUGUACACAUCAGAAUGUCAGUUUGUUGACAUGCAAUGAGAACUGUAACAGAUAAACCAUGUAUUUGUGUUCACAGAUCAAUGCAUUUUCUUCCACUAGGAAAAUAAAUCUAAAUGAGGCAUGAGUUUAUUAGCAUGACUGAGGUCAGGAGGUCAAGUGAUUAGAGUGGAAGGAACAAAAGCAGGAGCAGUAGGAGAUGAGGUAGAGAGACAGGCAGGGGCUGGGUCACGUGGGCCCUUGAGGCCAUGUUAAGGAAUCUAGAUUCUAAGAGGUCACAAGCUAUUGGGGGUGGUUUAGGUAGGAAUAUAAUCUGAUUUUCAAAGGGAUAAUUCUGCAUGCUGAGUGGAGAAUCAAUUCUAAGGGGAUAGAAAUGAUAGUUAAGAAAUUAGAAAAGACAGGGCCAGGUGCGGUGGCUCACGCCUGUAAUCCCAGCACUUUGGGAGACUGAGGUGGGUGGAUUACGAGGUCAGAAGAUGGAGACCAUUCUGGCUAACACAGUGAAACCCCAUCUCUACUAAAAAUACAAAAAAAUUAGCUGGGCAUGGUGGCGGGC